ACCUGGGUGGCUCAGCAGUUGAGCAUCUGCCUUCAGUUCAGGUCAUCAUCCCAGGAGCCCAGGAUCAAGUCCUGGAUCAGGUU
rnacentral:tRNA from 1 species